rnacentral:lncRNA from 1 species
GUGUGGUGUGAGUGCCAAUGAGACAAAUCUCCAUCCAAAUAACAAUUUAUAAAAGUAAACCAUUAUAGGUCAAUGUACAUAUUAUAGGAUAUCUAUCUAAUUCCUCCGAUAGCUGCCUGAUUUUUAACUUCCAAACAGUCGUUUUAUUUUGUCCACAAGCAUUGACAUGUGACAACAUACAACAUGUACAAUGUAUGACAUACACA